UAUCUAUGAAACAAAUGAAUUCGCAUGCAAACGAAUAUUGCAUUCAGUUAUUUCCCAAAGUUAAUAACAUGGACGAUAAAAUACAGGCAAUCAAUCUAUCGCGAUUUUCAGUACCCAUACUAUUCAGUAUAAUAUGUGUAACGAUGUGUCACAAAAUGAGACGGCAACAUGUCGGCGAUGAGUUCAAAGAUGAGGGCCUCAAUACGUUGGUAACACAGGGGGCAGAUGCUCGAGAUAUUGCUGCUAACAGAUUUACCCUACCGUCUACGUCUACAAAGAGGCUCUUACGGACUACGCCAUACCGUGUGUCAUUCGCAGAAGACUGUGAUUAUCUCGUACACUACUGUCUCAGAGCAUAUUCGACCGGAGAAUUAUGCGCACGGACAUUAUUCUAUACAUACUAUACAUUUAAAAACUAUUGUCUUAUGGAUUUUGUUAAUUGCAUGGAGCGUUAUGAAGUAUGGCAAGUUGUUCACAUGGGACCAUGUUUCAAUAUUACACCCCUAACAGAAUAUUUAUUAUAUCCCUAUGAUGAUGAUUACUUCUUGGACUUAGAUUACGUAAUGGAAGAUCAUUGAAAAAAAAAACUAACAUAAAAUGCACUUACAAGUAUGAUAGACAGGAAACGAUUUCUGUUAAUAGUUAAUAAAUUGAUGUUAGAGUGUUGUUAAGGUUAUCUGUGGACUUCGGGAGACGAUAAUAAAU